rnacentral:lncRNA from 1 species
UUUUUUUUUUUUUUACAACAAGUGUGUUUUAAUCUGUUGUAGCGGUAACUUGUAAAUUCUUUAUAUAAGCAUCUCAUUUUCCUUUUCCUUUCUUCCCAUAUUAUAGUAUACUAUUCAACAACAACAACAAUAUACCCAGUGUAUUCCCAUAUAGUCGGGUCUGGGGAAAAUAAAGUGUACGCAGAUCAUACCACUACCUCAGGUGAAGUAGAGAGGUUGUAUUGUAGUAUACUAUUCACUAUGGAAAAUUCCCAACAACCUCUUGCCACAGAGAGUUUUUCAUAUAGCUGGUUGUUGAACAGAAAACCAUCCAUUGAUGGCCUAAUAGAAUCCC